UCUAGGUCUGGCAAUUGGAAUGAGAAAUAUUUAAAUCCCUUAUCGAGGAUCAACUGAAGGGCAAGUCUGGUGCCAGCAGCCGCGGUAAUUCCAGCUUCAGUAGCGUAUAUUAAAGUUGUUGCAGCUAAAAAGCUCGUAGUCGCAUUUCUGGAGAGAGGAACUGGUCCGACCUUACGGUGGGUUCUUGGUUCUCUCUCUCCAUCCUUGAGUGGCCCGUUCUGGUAUUAGGUUAUCGGAGCGUCCGCCGCUCAUCGUUUACUGUGAGAAAAUUAGAGUGUUCAAAGCAGGCUUAUGCCGUUGAAUAUAUUAGCAUGGAAUAAUGAGAUAGGACCUCGGUACUAUUUUGUUGGUUUGCGCACCAAGGUAAUGAUGAACAGGGACAGUUGGGGGUAUUCAUAUUUGAUUGUCGGAGGUGAAAUUCUUGGAUUUAUGAAAGAUGAACUUAUGCGAAAGCAUUUAUCAAGGAUGUUUUCAUUAAUCAAGAACGAAAGUUAGGGGAU
rnacentral:rRNA from 1 species